CCCCCCCCCCCCCCCCCCCCCCCCCCCCCCCCCCCCCCCCCCCCCCCCCCCCCCCCCCCCCCCCCCCCCCCCCCCCCCGGGGGUGCAGCGGGACCCCAACACUGCCACUGCCACCCGCGCCACCCCCACCCUGCCCCAGCUCCCCUCAGGGUGGGCCAGCACUGGGAUGGGCUGGGCUGGGAAUGGCAUCAACUGGGAAUGGCAUGGACCAGUACUGGGAUAAACUGGGAACGGCAUCAACUGGGAAUGGCAUGGGCUGGUACUCGGAGGCUCCAUUACUGGGAUGGACUGGGAAUGGGAUAGACCAGUAAUGGCACGGAUUGGAGUAAUGGGACGGAUUGGUUCUGGAUAAAUCUGUACUGGGAUGGAUUGGUUCUGGGAUUAGACUGGUACUGGGAUGGAUUGGUUCUGGGAUUAGACUGGUACUGGGAUAGACUGGUACUGGGAUAGACCAGUACUGGGAUGCUCCAUCACUGGGAUGGACUGGCACUAGGAUGGACUGGUACUGGGAUGGACCAGUACUGGGAUGCUCCGUACUGGGAUGGACUGGUUCUGGGAUGCUCCAUACUGGGAUGGACUGGUUCUGGGAUGCUCUGGGACCAGGAAGCUCCGACACCAGAACGUUCUGCCAUGGGGAUGCUCUGACACUGGGAUGGUCCCACAGCGGGAAAAUCCCACAGGGGGAAAAUCCCACAGGGGGAAAAUCCCACAGGGGGAAAAUCCCACAGGGGGAAAAUCCCACAGGGGGAAAAUCCCACAGGGGGAAAAUCCCACAGGGGGAAAAUCCCACAGGGGGAAAAUCCCACAGGGGGAAAAUCCCACAGGGGGAAAAUCCCACAGGGGGAA
rnacentral:lncRNA from 12 species